rnacentral:rRNA from 1 species
AAGCUCGUAGUUGAAUUUCGGGAUUAGUACGUUGGUCGUGCCUUAGGUACGUACUGGUGUUACUGGUUCCUACCUUCUGACGAACCAUCAUGUCAUUAAUUUGGUGUGGUGGGGAAUCAGGACUGUUACUUUGAAAAAAUUAGAGUGUUUAAAGCAGGCUCGCGCUUGAAUACAUUAGCAUGGAAUAAUGAAAUAGGACGUUGAUCCUAUUUUGUUGGUUUCUAGGAUUGACGUAAUGAUUAAUAGGGAUAGUGGG